CUCUUUAUUUUCUCAGAUGCUAAAGCUGCCCAUUCUUCUUGGCAAACCCCUUCAGUUCCUUUAAGAUUCUGGGUUUUCUUGCAUGAACUGCAUGUUUGAGAACUCCCCAAAGUGACUCAGGGACACUGAGGUCAGCAGACUGAGAUGGAACUCCUUCACCUUCCCUUUUUUCUGCUGUGGCCAAUGACAGGUGGACUUGGCCUUGUGUUUUGGGUCAUUGUCACGUUGGAACAUCCAAGAGCGUCUCAUGUGGAUUCUGUCAGGGUACGUAAACUUAUGAGCACAACUGUAUCUGCA